CUUCGUCUGUUUUGCAACAAAUCACUGCAUUUACCGAAAAUGAUGGCGGUUCCUCGAAUUAUCAUCUGUUGUUUAGUGCUCGGCUGCCUCAAAGCGAAAGUCUUGGAGGACUACCCGACCACAAGACCCGACUAUGAUCAGGGAUUCAGAUCUCUGAAUAGAUCUGUCUUCAGCUUCAACGAUACCCGAAUACCAAUCGAACAAGUGGAAAGAAACGGCACCAACAAUGGCACCGAUGAUUCAACAAUCGGAGGAAGAACACUGUCGCAAGUCCAACUGAAGCUAAGCAGAGAAGCUUAUGAAAAGGCAAAAAGAGAGAAAGCCGUCCAAUGAGAACCACGACUGAUCCUGAAAUAAAGUUGUCUGUUGAUUUGAC